CUGGAGAGAUGGCUCAGCGGUCAAGAAUAUGGGCUGCUAAUCCAGAGGACGUGGGUUCAGUUUCCAGCACCCACAUGGCCGCUCACAAUUCCAGUUCCUUAGUGCUGCUGAUGCUGUUAUGCUGUUAGUUUAUGGACCACACUCUGACUCCAGUACCAUCACUGAGCUCAACAUCCAUCCAAGGCUCAAGAACAGUGAGAGGCAGUUCAGAGGAUUCAAGGAGACCAAAACCUGAGGGCCUGGGAUGCCCCAGCCGGCGGGGCUUCCAGUAAUUCUUUCAGAGGUCCAGUUCCUUAUGAUCAUGAAGGGGAGCAUGGCGGCAUGCAGGCAGACUCGGUGCUGGAGCUGAGAGCGGCACAUCUUGACUCAGAGGCAACAGGAAGUCGACUGCCAUUCUCACCCUUCUUUACUAGAGCUUUAUUGAUGAAAGACCCCCAGACCCCUAAGGGCCUCAGGAUCCCGAGGAGCCCCCGAGACUCAGAAACCAGACCAAGAGCUGCAAAAGCAAGAGGGUUUAUUGAACGAAUGCAUUCGGGUGUCAGCAAUAUUGGGAAAGCUGCACACCCCAGCAUGGGGUGCAAGCUCCUUAUAUAGGAGAAAACCGCAGAUCAGCAUUCAGGCCGG
rnacentral:lncRNA from 1 species